UCCCACCCACUCCCAAUCCCAUCCCCACCCUUUCCUUCUCCCAUGCACCCACUCGCCGCCGCCCCCGUCCGACCACCGCCCGGCGCCGGCGCGCCCUUGCCGCAUCCCCCCGCGGCACUGCCGCUCCCAGUUCCGCCAUGCGCCGUCCGCUUCCCGUGCCUGCGCCAUCCCCUCUCCUUGCUCGCGUCGUCACCUCGCCGUGGCUGCCUCAACCUCGACGACGUGCCCUAGGCGCCGCUGUUCCCGGGUCCUAUGCAAGCUCUCCGUGAAUCCAGUGCAAGACGGCAGUUCGUCCCCAUGGUGCGCAUCAGCAUCUUCAGGUGUGCAGGCCCUUUCCAAUCCGGAUCCCAUGGCAUGCGGAGGCGCUACAAGCCCAGAUCUGGUGGAACACUGACUUACAUCAUCAUUCGGCAGCUAAUUAAGAUGGUUUGGCGCGGAUGACCCAACCCAGUAAGAAGGGGACACCACCUCCCACACACCAGAGCCUGAGAUUUGUGGAAGACACCGUGACGAGGUAGGUACCCCUCUCUCUUCUCUUUCUUCCUCGUUGUUCUAGUGGAUGAUUAUUGUAGGCAUGGAUGAUAGUAGUGGUUUCUGUUGAGCCAUACAUCAAUUUGAUGCAUUGUUAAUGAAAUUUUCUGGUUGUGCCACAUUAAUAAAAGACUAGUGCUAGAUCUGUGAAACCUUCAUAGUGAUCAACGUUAUGUACUUGAACUAGCUUAUUUGCCUUGCCCAUAUAUGCAACUAUCUUCAUAUGCUCAUUCCGUUUCCCAAAUCAAUCUGGGUUAUAAAAAUUGACUAUUAUGAUUUGAAGGUAUAAAAUUUGUUCUUAUCUAUCUGAACCAUGUACACAGGAAGUGGCCUAUGUAAAUUUUAUGGUUUGCUUUUGAACCGACUGAAAUAAAUGAUCAGAUGUUUUCUCUAAUUACUGUAUUCCGAUCCUGGUUUGAUAAACAUGGUUGGUUAGUUAUCCCUCUUAAUUUUCUAGUCAUCUGUGACUAUCACUCAAAAUUGGCCAGGGCAUUUGCUUGAUGCUGCACUAUAUGUGACAAUAAUACAGCCUACAAAAACUGCAGUUUGUUACAUAUUUACUUUGGUUCAACAAUUUAUUCUUUAAAAACUAAUCCGGGUUCUUAAAACUCAUGAUGCAGAUUUCUCUGGGUCGACCCAGUGACCCACUACCCAAAACAAAAAUUUUAGUGUAAGUACUAUUGGGUCGGCCCACUAAAAUCUAGUGUAAAAUGGUGCACAACACCCUGUCCGAGCUCGAGCAGUGGCACAGGCACUGUCGUCUGCUUCAUCGAUUGCCAUCUCGCCGACCUCGCGCAGCCAUUUCCCCCACCACUCGUUGCCUCCUUUGGUCGUUCUCCCCACCGCACCAUCUCCCCACCGCUGUGGCGUCGCCUCGGCCAGGGCGGAGACCCCCGCGCCGCUUCCGGACUUGUAGUCCCCAUCGUCGUUCUCCUCCAUGUCCUCGGAUGACAAGAGAACUUGAGGCACGUUAUUGAAUAAAACACUUGAAGGAGUCAGAGAACUACAGGUCUGCAGCGCGGCGAGCUCCUAUGGGGUUGCUGCCCUACCGUGGGGAAUCUUGGACAGAAGGAGUCUGCUUGCCUACUGCUGAUGCUACGCUUCUCCUUCGCCACCUUUUCCUACUGCUGGCAAGACUGACUGCUGGUGAGUCCGCCGGGUGGUCGGAGGACGACGGCCGCCGCGUUGCUACUAGCGGUGGUGGGCCAGCAAAGUUUCUCGACAAGGUUCUGGUCCAAGAUGAAGGGCCAGCCCCCCUGUUUGUCUCCAACAACUUCCUCCUCUAGCUGCUUUCGACGAACAGCAACAGGCAACUUGGACAACAACUGCACUGACCAUGGAGUAGCGAUGGCUAUAAGUAUCUUGUGGAGCGGACAUCUUUUGGCCCUGGUCUGUGAGUUGUCGCCCAAGACUGGAAGACACACAUAAGGCACUAGAGACUUCUAGCUUGAGAACAUAAGGAUACAGUAUAAGGUGAAGAGCCAAACUCUGCACAUGAUGUUGUGUAUUUUUUUGGUACAGUUUAUCAAGCAAGUUAUUUGGGGCAUUCAAUUAGGUGGUUCAUGCCCACGAUUUUCUUCAGUUUUGUAUCAAUUGGGUGGUCAAGAUACGUGACAGAGUGAUAUGAUAUGAAAUGGUUGCAAUGGCGCAUACUAUGUAAAUAGUUAAAUACCAUGUAAAUUUGAAUGCUUCGAUUGAGCAAUUCUACAAGGAUUGUAUAAUGGUUUUAUUAUGACAAUUUUACUGGCGGUUGUUCUGUA